rnacentral:rRNA from 1 species
UGUUUCCAUUAAUCAAGAACGAAAGUUAGAGGUCCGAAGGCGAUCAGAUACCGCCCUAGUUCUAACCAUAAACGAUGCCAGCCAGCGAUCCGGCUGUGUUCCUCAAAUGACACGCCGGGCAGCUUCCGGGAAACCAAAGCUUUUGGGUUCCGGGGGAAG